rnacentral:rRNA from 1 species
AUUGAACGCUGGCGGCAGGCCUAACACAUGCAAGUCGAGCGAGCGGCGGACGGGUGAGUAAUGCCUAGGAACUGCCUGGUAGUGGGGGAUAACAGUUGGAAACGACUGCUAAUACCGCAUACGCUUGGAUUGCCUAGGUGGGAUUAGUUGGUUGGUGAGGUAAUGGCUCACCAAGGCGACGAUCCCUAGCUGGUCUGAGUGGAUGAUCAGCCACAGUGGAAAGGAGAAACGGUCCAGCAUCCAACGGGAGACAGAAGUGGGGAAUAUUGCGCAAGGGGGGAAACCCGGAUGCAGACAUGCGGCGUGUGUGAAGAAGGCCUUCGGGUUGUAAAGGACUUUGAGAGAGGAGGCGUUACUCGCAGAAGAAGCACCGGCUAACUCCGUGCCAGCAGCCGCGGUAAUAC